rnacentral:rRNA from 1 species
UACGGAGGGAGCUAGCGUUGUUCGGAAUUACUGGGCGUAAAGCGCACGUAGGCGGCUUUUCAAGUCAGGGGUGAAAUCCCGGGGCUCAACCCCGGAACUGCCCUUGAAACUGGAUGGCUAGAAUCUUGGAGAGGCGAGUGGAAUUCCGAGUGUAGAGGUGAAAUUCGUAGAUAUUCGGAAGAACACCAGUGGCGAAGGCGACUCGCUGGACAAGUAUUGACGCUGAGGUGCGAAAGCGUGGGGAGCAAACAGGG